CAAUUCGGUAUAGUCUGAUAAAUUAUAGAAAUUAUUUUUUUUAUUUAUUUUAAAUGUUUUUCUAAAAAUUAAUUUGUUGUUUUUGUAUAUUUUGUGGAUUUAAUUUUUUUAAUUAUAGUUAAUUUUUACUGUAUUGGGUAUAAUUAUUAAUUUUUAGAAGUAGACUUGUUGUUGUACCUUGUGUAUCAGGGUUUAUUAAAUUGUAUUAUAUAUUUUUUGUUUCCCGAUUUUAAAGGAUUUAAGUAGAUAUUUUAGUUAUUGUGUCAUAAAUAUUAAUAAUGUUUAUUUGGUGGUGAAAUAUUAUUCGACUUUAAUGGUAUCUGGUUUUUCAGGAAAUAAAUUUAAUUUGGAUAUUAAUAAUUAUAUUUCUUUCUUUUUAGUUUUAUAUUUUAUUAAUAUUAAUAUUAUGGGGGUUAAGCUCUUUAAUAAAUUUUUAUAAUUUUUAUUUGUUAUUGGUUCGUGUUGGUUUUAAAAUAACUAUCAAUUUAAGUUUGUUGAAAUUUUAUCUUAUUGGAUUUUGAUUUUUUUUAAUUUAAUUAAUUUAUUGAAAUUUUUUAUCUAAUUUAUAUUUAAUUGUAAUUAUGAUGAAAUUAGUAAUUGAUUAUAUUUAUUUAUAAUUUUUUUUGCUAAUAUUUUAAAAGGAAUUAGGCAAAAUAAUAUUCUCGCAUGUUUAUCAAAAACAUCUCUUCUUGUGUAAUAAAUGUGAAGUAUGACCUGCCCACUGAUUAAUUUUGAAGGGCCGCGGUAUUUUGACCGUGCAAAGGUAGCAUAAUCAUUAGUCCUUUAAUUGUGGACUGGAAUGAAUGGUUGGACGAGGAAUAUACUGUUUCUUAAUAUUUAUGUUUGAAUUUAAUUUUUAAGUUAAAAAGCUUAAAUUUAUUUAUGGGACGAGAAGACCCUAUAGAGUUUAUACAAUUUAUUUAAUUAUUUUGUUUGAGUUUAUUUGUUGUUAAUUAUUUAAUAUGUUUUGUUGGGGUGAUAGGAAGAAUUAAUUAACUCUUUUUUAUUUUUUACAUUUAUUUAUGAUAAGUUGAUCCAUUUUUGUUGAUUAUAAGAUUAAAUUACCUUAGGGAUAACAGCGUAAUCUUUUCUGAGAGUUCUUAUCGAUGAAUGGGUUUGCGACCUCGAUGUUGGAUUAAGAUUUAAUUUGGGUGUAGAAUUUCAAGUGUUUAGGUCUGUUCGACCUUUAAAAUCUUACAUGAUCUGAGUUCAGACCGGCGUGAGCCAGGUUGGUUUCUAUCUAUAAUAAAUUUUAUAUCUUAGUACGAGAGGACCAGAUAUUUUAAAUAAUUUUUAGUUUUAUGAUUGUUAUUAAUUAUUUAUUUACUAUUUUGGCAGAUAAGUGCAAUGGAUUUAGAAUCUUUGAAUA
rnacentral:rRNA from 1 species